UACGGAAGGCAGCAGUGGGGAAUAUUGCACAAUGGGCGCAAGCCUGAUGCAGCCAUGCCGCGUGUAUGAAGAAGGCCUUCGGGUUGUAAAGUACUUUCAGUCGUGAGGAAGGUGUUAAGGUUAAUAACCUUAGCAAUUGACGUUAGCGACAGAAGAAGCACCGGCUAACUCCGUGCCAGCAGCCGCGGUAAUACGGAGGGUGCGAGCGUUAAUCGGAAUUACUGGGCGUAAAGGGCACGCAGGCGGUUAAUUAAGUUGGAUGUGAAAUCCCCGGGCUUAACCUGGGAAUAGCAUUCAAGACUGGUUAGCUAGAGUCUUGUAGAGGGGGUAGAAUUCCAUGUGUAGCGGUGAAAUGCGUAGAGAUGUGGAGGAAUACCGGUGGCGAAGGCGGCCCCUGGACAAAGACUGACGCUCAUGUGCGAAAGCGUGGGGAGCAAACAGGGAUUAGAUACC
rnacentral:rRNA from 1 species